UUAUGAAAGUGGCGAACGGGUGAGUAACACGUGAGGAACCUGCCUUACACAGAGGGAUAGCCGAGGGAAACUUCGAUUAAUACCUCAUGAGACCACACUAACACAUGUUAGAAGGGUUAAAGAUUUAUCGGUGUAAGAUGGCCUCGCGUCUGAUUAGCUAGUUGGAAGGGUAAUGGCCUACCAAGGCGACGAUCAGUAGCCGGUCUGAGAGGAUGAACGGCCACAUUGGGACUGAGACACGGCCCAA
rnacentral:rRNA from 1 species